GCAAGCUUCAGUUCUUCCUUGUGCUUCUUGAAACUUCAGUUCUAGAUCCUACCUAAUCUCUAUCUCCCUUCACACCAUUGACAAACCCUCCCCCUUCAAGCAACCUUGCCCACAAGGUACGGAUAUGCUUCUUUAAAUUGGUCGUAGGGCUCCCAUUUAGUAUCGUCUACAUCAUGUCCUUGUCAUUGGACCAGGAGUUCUACCUGUGCUCAGUUCUGGGCCUUCGUCAAAAGGUGCCCCAAAACUUCUUCGGGUUCCUACUUCAAAACGUCCAUGGAGUCUACUGGAGGAAGCAUCGACACAGUAGUGAACCUAUUUCCCAAUUUCUUCUUGAAUUGUGAGAUGUGGAAGGUUGGGUGUAUUCGUGUUGUGGCUGGCAGAUUGGGUCUAUAAGCAACAUGGCCGAUCCUUUGCACGAUCUUGAAGGACCCGAAAUACCUGGGUGCUAGCUUAGAUUUCGGCGGUGAGACACAGAGAUCUACCAGUAGGGUUGAAGAUGGAGGUUAUGACACAAAAUCUGUAAGAUCUGGUCUCUAGUUCAAAGGCUGACUUCCACAGCCUCCAAAUGGGCAGUUCCCAGCACAUAACUGACGAGUCGCAGUGGAGGAUACCCAUAGAGGGCUUCAAAGGGGGCAAGUUUGGUUGAGUGGUGUUGAGUAGAGUUGUACCACCAUUUGGAUAGGGGAACCCAGAUAGACCAAUCCUUUGGUCGAUCCCCCGUGAAGCACCUUAGAUUGUUGACAGAUUUUGUCUGUCCAUUGCUUUGGGGAUGAUAUAGAGUACUCGUGUUCAUUUUCACCCCUUGGAGGGUGAAAAGACUCUUGUCAAACAUAUUGGUAACAGAAUUAUCUCGGUCCAAUACGAUUGAGUUGGGUAGGUCAUGGUAUUUAAACACAUUUUUUAGGAAUUACUCAGCCACUGUCUUGGCAAUGUAGGGAUGUUUUAGGGGUUUGAGUGAGUCUCUCGACAACUACCCACAAGUUGUUAAAGUCAUUUGAAUUAGAAGCCCCUCAAUGAAAUCCAUAAUGAUAUAUGUCCAUGGUUGGUAUGGCACUGGUAGUGGCUACAGUAACCCAUUCGGCAGAGUAUUUUCUACCGUAACUCUUUGGCACAAAUCACAACGUCUAAUAAAUUGCUUGACAUCUUUCUUAAGGUCUGGCCAAUGAAACUAUAUCAUAGGCUUAAUGUGCAUGAUUUCCUUGUAUCUA